CCUACGGGGGGCAGCAGUGAGGAAUAUUGGUCAAUGGUCGGGAGACUGAACCAGCCAAGCCGCGUGAGGGAGGAAGGUACAGAGUAUCGUAAACCUCUUUUGUCAGGGAACAAAGGCGGGGACGUGUCCCCGGAGGAGUGUACCUGAAGAAAAAGCAUCGGCUAACUCCGUGCCAGCAGCCGCGGUAAUACGGAGGAUGCGAGCGUUAUCCGGAUUUAUUGGGUUUAAGGGGUGCGCAGGCGGUCUGUUAAGUCAGCGGUCAAAGCCCGGGGCUCAACCCCGGCCCGCCGUUGAAACUGGCAGUCUCGAGUUGGAGAGAAGUAUGCGGAAGGCGCGGUGUAGCGGUGAAAUGCAUAGAUAUCGCGCAGAACUCCGAUUGCGAAGGCAGCAUGCCGGCUCCACACUGACGCUGAGGCACGAAAGCGUGGGUAUCGAACAGGAUUAGAUACCCGUGUAGUC
rnacentral:rRNA from 1 species